rnacentral:lncRNA from 1 species
GAAUGUCAAUACAAAUUGUAGUUUUCCUCUAGUGGAUCUACCUACUUUUACCCUAAUUGAAGAAUGAAUGAAUAAGGAAAAUAUAUUAUGAAAGUCCCAUAUCAAACAAUAUGAUAAAUAGUGAUUAAAGUCCUAAAUAUUUAGGCAUGUUUAAAAAACCCUAUAAUCAACAUGUUUUUGUGGUAGAGAUUACCUGUGGAGACGUUACAUCAUAUUUACUACAAUCAGCUAUGAGGAGGGAAGAGUGGAAUAAGGAAAUAAACAAUAAACCGGGGCAGGGACCAUAGAGAUAAAAAAUAUAGAGUAAUUACUUGAGGAAAAAAUUGAGGGGAGAGACAGCUGAUGAAUAAAAACAAUACAAGGAUCAAGACAUUCAAAUAUUAUAUAGUAAAUAGCCGUUUCGUCUGACUUAAUAAUGUGAUUUAAUAAAUUGAUAAUGAUGGUACUCAACAGGGUUCAAAUUUUCCUCUUUUCUCUUAUCAAAAUGGAAGGAGUAAUAUUUCUUAAAGAAACCUCCACGAUGGGUGUUUAAAUUCCCCUGGAAUCGCAUGAAGCCUAUAAGAACAUUAUGAAGAACAUAUUCAUAAUUCAUUUUUUCUUAUAAAUUCCUAAUAUUCUCGUUUGUUCUCGUAAACACUUAUUUUAAUAAUAAAUGUUCUAGAAUAUCUAAGACAAAUAAACAUGUAAUCAAU